CGUUAUACAACAUGGUUCAAGUUAAGAUAAUUAGCUAAAAAGAUGGUUAUUAUUUAAGUUUUUUGUGAGUAGAGCUACGUAUAUAUGGGUACAAUCUAUAAUAGCGUUAGGAAAUCUUAUAGCUUGCAAGUGUUUAAAUAUAAGAAGCCAUGUAAUUUAAAUUAUGAACUGGGAUUAGAUACCCCAUUACUUUUUUAUUUAAAAUUUAUUUAUGCUUGGGAACUACGAACUUUCAUUUAAAACUCAAAGAACUUGGCGGUAUUUCAAGUCCUUUUAGGGGAACCUGUUUUGUAAUCGAUAUUCCACGUAAAAUCUGACCUUUUUUGGUAAAAUUAUCAGCCUGUAUACCGCCGUUAUCAGUUUAUUUUUAAAAAGAUAGUAAUAAACGUAAUUAAUAUAUAUAUAUAAGUAAGUUUGGUUAUGAUUUCAGGUCAAGGUGCAGCCUAUAAAAAGGACGAUAAUGGGUUACAAUUGUUAUUUUCUUUAAAAUGGAUUAAUAAAUUAUAUUUUAUUAAGAAAAAGGACUUAAUAGUAAGAUUAUAAUAAUAAGAUAAUUUUGAAUAUUAGGCUAUGAAAAUGUGUACAAAUCGCCCGUCGCUCUCGUUGAGAAUGAGAUAAGUCGA
rnacentral:rRNA from 1 species